rnacentral:lncRNA from 1 species
ACGAUUUAAUCCUAACAAACUAUUUCCUUCCAAUUCAAUGACCAUCAUCCUUCUCACUUCUAUAUAAAAUACUCAAUUACAGAAAUCAUACCCCGUUCAAUUCCUGGAGCUAAGACCCAAAUUCCUACUCACUCUAAGAAAAGAUGCAGCUUCAUUCCAAAGAGCUAAAGAACGACAGUGACCAUUUGACAAUGAUAGUCACUUUUUUGGAUUUCUUAUUUCACUUCUUUUAUUGAGUCUUUCACCGGCCAAACUCAACCUCUCUAUUGUUUAUUCCACAAAAAAUCAAUUUGGAUCUAUUUUUAUCUUUUUUUCUUUUUUCAAGAAUACUUAUUCCAUUUUUCAAUUUUAUACCCCUUUGAUUUCGUUACAUUUGCUAGUUUUUAGCAUUUGGGUUUUGAUUUAUCUUGAUAUUUAUCAAAUGGGGUGUGUUUAAUUCAGUAAAUAAACCAAAAAAUAGAAUCUUGGUAUGGGAUUUUGGGUUUUGUAUUUUUGGGUCAUUUUCAUAAUUUUGAAGAUCUUGUUCAAUGGUGGUUGGAAUUAAGUGUUAACCAGAAAACAUGAUGAGUUCGAAGGACUAAAGUAAGUGGUAUUGUUCGCCAAAUUUUGGUUCUAAAAAUGGAGGUCGUUCGAGGUCACGUUUGAUCCGAGUUUUUCCGGUCGAGAUCCCGUCGAAGGUGCAUACAGACCUAUUUGUAUUUAUGCUUGAAUUUUAU